rnacentral:lncRNA from 1 species
CUGCAUUCAAGGGUGCAUAUCAACAGUAUGUAAAUGAUGAAUGAAGAUGAUUAUUUCUAAUGCACAAGAUCAGCAAAUACUUAUGUUUUGCGGUAUGUAAAACAUGUAUAUGAACAAAUGUAAAUUUAUUGCAUAAACAUACUUGCAAUGGGUUUUGGAAAAACUGAAAAGAAAAGAUUACAAGUUUUGUAAAUUUGAGACACUCAAGAUUUCUUAGAGAAACUCUCUAUCUAACUCUUCG